rnacentral:rRNA from 1 species
GGGUACCGUCAGACCACGAGGCUGUUUACCCACGGCGGUUCGUCCCCUCUGACAGAGCUUUACACCCCGAAAGGCGUCCUCACUCACGCGGCGUUGCUGCGUCAGGCUUUCGCCCAUUGCGCAAAAUUCCCCA